rnacentral:rRNA from 1 species
UGGGGAAUAUUGGACAAUGGGGGGAACCCUGAUCCAGCCAUGCCGCGUGUGUGAAGAAGGCCUUUUGGUUGUAAAGCACUUUAAGCGAGGAGGAGGCUACUCUAGUUAAUACCUAGGGAUAGUGGACGUUACUCGCAGAAUAAGCACCGGCUAACUCUGUGCCAGCAGCCGCGGUAAUACAGAGGGUGCGAGCGUUAAUCGGAUUUACUGGGCGUAAAGCGUGCGUAGGCGGCUUUUUAAGUCGGAUGUGAAAUCCCUGAGCUUAACUUAGGAAUUGCAUUCGAUACUGGGAAGCUAGAGUAUGGGAGAGGAUGGUAGAAUUCCAGGUGUAGCGGUGAAAUGCGUAGAGAUCUGGAGGAAUACCGAUGGCGAAGGCAGCCAUCUGGCCUAAUACUGACGCUGAGGUACGAAAGCAUGGGGAGCAAACAGG